rnacentral:rRNA from 1 species
UACGUAGGGUGCGAGCGUUGUCCGGAAUUAUUGGGCGUAAAGAGCUCGUAGGCGGUGUGUCACGUCGGCCGUGAAAACCUGCAGCUUAACUGUGGGCGUGCGGUCGAUACGGGCAUCACUGGAGUUCGGCAGGGGAGACUGGAAUUCCUGGUGUAGCGGUGAAAUGCGUAGAUAUCAGGAGGAACACCGGUGGCGAAGGCGCUCAUCUGGCCCAAUACUGACGCUGAGGCGCGAAAGCUAGGGGAGCAAACGGG